rnacentral:rRNA from 1 species
GUGGGGAAUAUUGGGCAAUGGGCGGAAGCCUGACCCAGCGACGCCGCGUGGGGGAAGAAGUCUUUCGGGAUGUAAACCCUUGUUGUACGGGACGAAGGAAGUGACGGUACCGUACGAGGAAGCCCCGGCAAACUACGUGCCAGCAGCCGCGGUAAUACGUAGGGGGCGAGCGUUGUCCGGAAUCACUGGGCGUAAAGCGCACGUAGGCGGGCUGUCAAGUCGGCCGUGAAAGGCCCGGGCUCAACCUGUGCAUGUCGGUCGAUACUGGCGGUCUGGAGUAUGGGAGAGGGAACUGGAAUUCCCGGUGUAGCGGUGAAAUGCGUAGAUAUGCGGAGGAACACCGAUGGCGAAGGCAAUCCCCUGGGCCUGCACUGACGCUCAUGCACGAAAGCGUGGGGAGCAAACAGGAUUAGAAACCCUGGUAGUCC